GAUGAACGCUGGCGGCAGGCUUAACACAUGCAAGUCGAACGCCCCGCAAGGGGAGUGGCAGACGGGUGAGUAACACGUGGGGAUCUGCCCAAUGGUACGGAAUAAUUACGGGAAACUGGGACUAAUACCGUAUGUGCCCGCAAGGGGAAAGAUUUAUCGCCAUUGGAUGAACCCGCGUCGGAUUAGCUAGUUGGUGAGGUAAAGGCUCAACAAGGCGACGAUCCGUAGCUGGUCUGAGAGGAUGAUCAGCCACACUGGGACUGAGACACGGCCCAGACUCCUACGGGAGGCAGCAGUGGGGAAUAUUGGACAAUGGGCGCAAGCCUGAUCCAGCCAUGCCGCGUGGGUGAUGAAGGCCCUAGGGUUGUAAAGCUCUUUCGCCGACGAAGAUAAUGACGGUAGUCGGAGAAGAAGCCCCGGCUAACUUCGUGCCAGCCGCCGCAGUAA
rnacentral:rRNA from 1 species